UAUCUUCUGGAAUGUAUUUUUAUAGAUUGCACAAGUUGGAUAAAGUAACGGAGUGCAAUGCAUGGUAUGCAAGGGUAAACAGAAGCCCUGGGGUGAAGACAUAGCUACCUGGCUGAGCUGCUUUCUGAAUGAAGCCACGCAGAGGAGGGACUCAGUCUUUGGCAGUAGACGCACUUUGCUGAAAUGCCUUUUCAGUUCCUUCCUCACUUUGGGAAUGUUGGAAUCUAUGCACAUCAGUGGGUGAGCUUCUAGCUGACAUUUCUACAGCUGCCUGUCUCCUGUGUGAAGCCACAGGACUUUCUGUGUAUGGCCUCCAACUUCCGUGACCAGAAGCAGUGACUGAACACUGUGUAUGUCCUCUGUCAACUUCCCCCCCUUUUUUUUUUUCACAAACAGCCACCUGCUACUAACAGAGAAAGUUUUGGGUGCUAUGUGGUGUUGCUAUUAGUAAAAUGGAACUAUAUAGCACUAUUGCCUGGAGAUCAAUGUGGUUGGCCCUACUACACCAUUAUUGCCUCUCUUUGCUUGCUAAGCUUCCCCUUUAUAAUAAAAAAAAAAAGCUGCCUUCAGGCUAAAAUAUUCGUAGGUAGCACAUUCUCCCUGAAAUUAAUUAUGUUGAAAAUUUAAUUAAAAUGUAAUUUAACAAAAUGUACUUAUUUAAAUGGUUCCUUCCAUUAUUAAUAAGCAAAGCCGGUUUCCUAUUUAAAGAAGUGACAUUCCAUAUUUAAUAGAAUCUAAAAUGCCACUGAUUAUGAAAGCAUCAUUAUUAUAUAUUCUACUAAGAAAGAAAAACAAUUCUAAUUAAACCCUCAUAAGCCAUCAAUAGUAACAAAGCAUGCUGCUUUCAAAGCUAUUAAAAUUUGAAGACAUGUAUAUCCGUUUCUGUUUCCUUUAACAAACAAAGUUAUUCGAGUAAAGAAGAGGACUGAUUUAACAGAAAGUGAAUAAAGGGCGCCUUGGUUUUAAGUGAACUUAGCAGAAAUGACGUGAACACAAACUUGCUUGGAGUUUGGGAAAUGGGCUCAUCUCACAUAGCUGGUCCUUAUACCUGCCUUCUAAGGGGGCUGUUGUCAUUUCUGUUUAGCAGACGGGACAACUGGGGCAGGAAGCAGUGGCCUUCCUAAGACCACAAGGUGAAAGGAAAAUUCAGGCUUGGCCAGGGGGUCCAAGUACCCACUUUCGAUACCAAAAGUCCACGGAACUGAAUGGACUCCAGCAUGGCUGGGUCUGCUGCCCCUCCUGUGUGAGGCCCCGACAGGCUCAGAGCAUGGCCCCUUUUCCCCAGGCAUGGUCCCUUUCCCACAGGGGCUGCAUUGCCCAUGCAGAAGCAUGUGAUGGCAAAUGGACAUUUCCAGAAAGGCAUCCAGGGAGGGAUGGGGACAGAACACCCCAGGAACAGUUGUAGGAAUAUUAAACUCUUCUUGGUCGCUGAAGCCACUGUCUAUUUUGUUGUUGUUUGGUCCUUAGCUCAAUUACAUGAGUAGGUAUUAUUCCCAUUUUACAGAUGAAAAAAACUGACAACAUUAAUUUGCGGCUACAUUCACAAUUAAUAAUUAGUCGAGCCGUAAAGCCAUGGAUUCACUGCCUCCCUUUUAAAAUUAAACUUUGUGAAAUCAUUGUAGAUUCGUGUGCCCUCAUAAGAAAUAAUAAAGAGAGAGAUCUCAGAGAUCUGGCAUACUCCUGGAUUUACUACUUUUCCCUGAGAGUAACAUUCAGCAAAGUUAUAGCAGAAUGGGAAGACCGGGAUGCUGGCAUCGAGACAAUCACAACACAGAGCCUUGCCUUACAUCUCUCUCUCCCAGAGUUGCCCUUUUCCAACCACACUUUUCUCCCUCUCCUGCAUCCUUCCAUCCCUGACUCCAGGCAACCGAUCAUCUAGUCUUCAUUUCUAUAAUCUUGUCACUUCACACAUUAUGUAUGAAAUCAGGUACUAUUUGACCCCUAGUGACUGACUGUCCUCACUCAGCAUAAUUCCUUGGAUAUUCAGGAAAUAAUAGCUCCUUUUCAUUACUGAGUACUAUGCCACAGUAUGGAGGCACCAUAGUUUGUUAAGCCAUUUAUCUGUUGAAGGACAUCUGGGUUGCUUCUUUAUGAAUAAAGUUUCUUUAAACAGUCUUAUAGAAGUUUGUG